UUGACCUCGGAUCAGGUAGGGAUACCCGCUGAACUUAAGCAUAUCAAUAAGCGGAGGAAAAGAAACCAACAGGGAUUACCUCAGUAACGGCGAGUGAAGCGGCA
rnacentral:rRNA from 1 species